rnacentral:rRNA from 1 species
AGAGUUUGAUCCUGGCUCAGAUCGAACGCUGGCGGCAUGGCUAAGACAUGCAAGUCGUACGGGCCAUUUUUCGGAAUGGUCAGUGGCGGACGGGAGCGUAAUACAUAGGUAAUGUACCCCGAACACUGGGAUAACCACGGGCGCAAGCCCUUUGCGAAAGUGUGGAUAAUACCGGAUGACGUCGCUGGAUCGCAUGGUUCGGCGACCAAAGGUGGGGACCUUCGGGCCUGCCGGUUUGGGAUCAGCCUAUGUCCUAUCAGCUAGUUGGUGGGGUAACGGCCUACCAAGGCGACGACGGGUAGCGGGCGUGAGAGCGUGGCCCGCCUCAUCGGGACUGAGACACUGCCCGGACACCUACGGGUGGCUGCAGUAACGAAUAUUGGGCAAUGGGCGAAAGCCUGACCCAGCAAUGCCGCGUGCAGGAGGAAGCCCCUCGGGGUGUAAACUGCUGUCAGGGUCUAGCAAGCAAGGGACGUGAACAGCGUCCUGCGCUGAGCAGACCCAAAGGAAGUCUCGGCUAACUCUGUGCCAGCAGCCGCGGUAAGACAGAGGAGGCUAGCGUUGUUCGGAAUUAUUGGGCUUAAAGAGCGCGUAGGCGGCCUGGUAAGCGUCUCGUGAAAUCCCUCGGCUCAACCGAGGAACUGCGGGGCGAACUGCUUGGCUUGAGUUUGGUAGAGGCGCCUGGAACGCUAGGUGGAGCGGUGAAAUGCGUAGAUAUCUAGCGGAACGCCAGAUGCGAAAGCGGGGCGCUGGGCCAAUACUGACGCU